UACGGAGGGGGCGAGCGUUGUUCGGAAUUACUGGGCGUAAAGCGCACGUAGGCGGAUCAGAAAGUAUGGGGUGAAAUCCCAGGGCUCAACCCUGGAACUGCCUCAUAAACUCCUGGUCUAGAGUUCGAGAGAGGUGAGUGGAAUUCCGAGUGUAGAGGUGAAAUUCGUAGAUAUUUGGAGGAACACCAGUGGCGAAGGCGGCUCACUGGCUCGAUACUGACGCUGAGGUACGAAAGUGUAGGGAGCAAAC
rnacentral:rRNA from 1 species